GAUGAAGAACGUAGUAAAAUGCGAUAAGUAAUGUGAAUUGCAGAAUUCAGUGAAUCAUCGAAUCUUUGAACGCACAUUGCGCCCGCCAGUAUUCUGGCGGGCAUGCCUGUUCGAGCGUCAUUUCAACCCUCAAGCACAGCUUGGUGUUGGGACUCGCGUUAAUUCGCGUUCCCCAAAUUGAUUGGCGGUCACGUCGAGCUUCCAUAGCGUAGUAGUAAAACCCUCGUUACUGGUAAUCGUCGCGGCCACGCCGUUAAACCCCAACUUCUGAAUGUUGAUCUCGGAUCAGGUAGGAAUACCCGCUGAACUUAAGCAUAUCAUAAGCGGAGGA
rnacentral:misc_RNA from 1 species